AUCUGGGAGCUCCGCCCUGACUCUGGCCUGCUUUCUCCUCCUCCAAAUUCUGCCUGGAAAACCAGCCGGGUGGCAGGGAUCUGGGAGCACAGGAGGGCCUCUUCUCCUGGGGUCUCCAGGGGGCAAAAGAGCCCUCUGGGCUAACCCACAUACUCAUGGCCUGAGGAGUCCUGGGGUGGGGCACCUGAGGUGGCCUAGGAUCUCAGCCUCCUGCCACUUCCUCCUGGAAGCCCUGGGGCCCUGGGGGAGGAACUGAGGCCCCAGGGCAGAGCAACCUCAAGCCUCUGAGGUAAAGCGAAGGAGAAGUCAUCCAGGUGAAGAGCUCAGUGGUGUCCCUCCUGGAGCUCUUGAAGCCUGGGAAGGAGGCAUCUUUGGAAGAACAGAUAGAGGUCAGUGUGUCUGGAUUGAGGGGAUCAGACCAGGGGGACAGCUAGCAGGAGGAAUGGCUUAAGUCUGGCUGAGGAUUGGGGCUUUUCCCAAAAGGGCCGCUGAUGGAUUUCCUCUUUGUUAUCAGAGGAACAGAAACAGAUUCGCCUUUAAAACUUCCCUCUCUUAGAUCAGAGGAAGUGAGAAACAAACCUAGAGCAUGAAUCAGGGACAAAGUCAGUGGUGGCUUGGACUAGGAGAGGGGACGCAGACACAGAGAGGUGAGGCAUGCAUUUUGCAUUUGGGAUCCGGGGACAGGGGAUGAGAUGGUUGCAUGUGGGGAUGAGGAAGAAAAAGGGAGCACUCAGAGCCCCAGGGUCUAGUUUGAGCAGAUGAGGAGAUGGAGCUGCUGCUGCUUGGACCUGGGCAAGGGGUGAGAAGAGAGUUCCAGAAGGCCCACUGGGACCAAGUAAGCCUUAGACACGUAUGAGGUCACAUCAGAUCUGAUGUACUUUCCAAAUGAAGUCACUGGGAGAAACUGCUUCUCAGGAUUGUGAGCAAGGGUAUGAUCUUCUUACCCUGGCUGACUAAAAAUCCUCUUGUUCCUGGUGAACUUGACUCUGUUCAUACAGGGGAUGGGCCUGGAUGAAACAUUCCAGCCAGCAGGAGCAUGAAGGAAGAACAAGUGAGACUGUCAAGUCUUAUCUGCUGAUGGCAGCCCAUCAUCUGUCAGUCUGUCUGUCCCAGGGCCACCAUAUGUCCAGCUAGAGAAGACGAGCCUGCUAGGCUGUGUGCCCUGAGAAGGGGACAGUCUCACUGCAGCCAGCCCUGUGGUGAUGAGUGUGGACAAUGAAGCCAGAAUACCUGACUCUUUGUUACCCCAGCUCCAGCUCCUGCUAGCUGUGUGGCCUUGUGUCACGGGCUUCUGACCUCCUAGGCCAAGGCUUAACCCUUUCUCAUCGGGAUUGCUUUGGAAAUUAAAAACCCUAAUAUCCUAGGAAGGUCUUGCCCAUCCCUUCCUAUAUGGGGGCAGUUUUCUUAUGGCUCCAGAGACACUCACUCAUACACACAAUGGCACACAAACACACAUACACAUGGGCACAGUGACACUAAAUAAGAACUAUGGGAUGGGAACAGAAGAGGAACAGACAGGUAAUGAGAAAAGGAAAAAAGGGGGUCGAGGCAUGAGCUAUAUGUGCCACCACUCCCACAUUUUCCAUGCCUUAUCCCACAUGUAGCUGAGGACAUCCCUAAAAGUAUGCGCUAGACUCAUGGCCGGUGUGCAGGUGGGGAGUCAGACAGGCCCUGAGAGCCAUGCUGACUUAUCCUGGAUGGAGAAGAGCUAAGAGUGAGGAGUUGCAUGUGGAACCCAGGUCUGUUUCCUCCAAGCUGCACACAGUCCCUCCCCGGGAGCUGUGGGAGGGCUGGGUAGUAUAGUGUGCAAGUCACAGGGUUACAUGGAGAAGGGAGUGAGCAGACAGCAACCCCAAGGGCUGUGUGUUCUGUUGGGUGAGAAGGGCAUUCAUGGAGGGGACCCCAGGAAGUGAGGUCACUUCCUUGGCAGUGGAGCCCAACAGAACUCAGAACCUCUGUAACCAGGCACCCACACACUAGGGACAGCCCAACAGCCAGGUCAUUUGGCUGGAGUCAUUUCAUAGAGAAAGAUGUUCUCCUGCUGUGUCCCCACUUACAGGGGCUUCUGCUUCAGGAAACCCUUGAGUGAGAAGUUUCUCAGAUUCCUUAGACAAUGGUUCAAUUCUCCAUUCCAAUGCCUCUGGUCACUUCCCAGGAGGUCCCCUAAGGUAAUACAAGGUGGCUGAGAGCAGCAAACCAAUCCAGGCACGACCACCUCUGGGAGCCCUCCAUGGGCAGGGCCACCACAUCCCCUCAUCUGCGUGUGGCGGUGGGGGGGGGGUACGGAUCUGAGGGGAGGUUUCCCCCUCUGGGAGAAACAGGAAGGGCAGGCCUUAGCAAACUGGCAGUCCUGUCAUGGUCACACCCAAGGACAGGGCUGGCAGGGGCCAGAGAGGAUUCCUGUGGUACCUCUUAUCUGUGGCAGUGUGAAUCCAUGGCCCUGGGGUGUCAGCUUCUUGCCAUUCUUGGUGGAGGUCAGGGCCAAGAGUGCAAGCCUGUGUCUAGAAUGGAGAUGUCUGGUGGGUCUGAGAAGCCGCCAAGACAGCAGAUGGGGCUCUGAGGCUUUCUGCCCGACUGCCGGGCAUUGUGUUCAUAGGGCUCCACACAGGAGAUCGGAAAGGAGCCGGUCCAUGGAGGGCCCUGCUCCCUCUCCCCACAGGAGGGGCAGGUGACCCACACCACCCGCAGAGGCCAGGGCAGGCUCACAGUGAGUUGAGUGCCAGGGAGGAGGUGACUCCAUGCCCAGAAAGCCCCACCCCAAGUCCCAGAGCCACCCUGCUCCUCCCCUGGGUUCCCUUCCCCAGAGUCCUGCUCCCAGAAAAAUCUGGGCCCCCAUCUCCUCUCCCACCUGCCUUCCUGGCCCAGGUGCUGCCCUGGCCACAUGCAAAGUCACAGUCCACACAUGUGUAGGAAUCUCAGAAAGAGACUUGGAUGGGAUUUGACUUCAUGUCACAAGCAGGAGGUUUCAGCCUCCCUUUUUCUAGAGGGUUUCCAGUUUUGACUCAGUGCCAAGGGGUCCACGUUUCCCUGAUCAUCCCAAUCCAUCCAGCGUGGGAUCAGCCUCUGUGACCUCGUGCCCGGAAUGGGAUCUUCGGGGAGCACUCACAGGGAUGAUGCAGUGAAGGGAGGGAGGUGCUGUCCAUGCUGGGCCACCAAUUGGCCUGAGAUCACAGUCCGUUUCACCACAGCCCACUGCCAGUUCUACAGGUGAUGCCAGAGCCUUUCUCCUGUUGAGGGCUCUCCUGUCCCACCUUGCCCACAAGUCCCUGAGGCUUGGGGAUUUGAUCUGAGCUGCAGCCCCAGCCCUCCUGCUGGUCCCUGGGGCUGCCUCUGACUGCAGGCCUCUGCUCUGUUCCUCCCCAGGGGGCAAUGGUGACAACAGUGGACAGGCAGGAGACCUGCCCGGUGUGGAGGGUCCAGGGAGGCAGGAGCUGCUGGGAAAGCUGGUGCCUGCCUUCCUGGGCAGCGGGCCUGCCUACCUCGCCACCUGCAUGGGCACCUGCAGGGCUUUGGCCACCACCCAGCAGGUGCUGGACCUUCUGUUCCAAAGGGAGGAAGCCGCUGCCUGACUGCCUCUGGCCUUGGGCUCUGACUGUAUCUGCAUUUGAAAGGUGAUGUGUGAGGAGUUCCCUGUCCUGGGUGAGUGUGAGGAGGGAUCCCUGGGGGCGAGCAGGGGGCCCCUUGCUCCCCUGAGAUACCUGUGAUGGGACAGGUUGGGCGCCUUCUUUCUUCCAGUGCAUAGGAAGGCCCACUAGGUGGAGAUGCUUUCCUAGGAAGAACCAACAUUUAAUGUAUGGAGCAGACAAGAGUCCUGCAGUCCAGGGCUUUCAUUCUCCCAGGCAGGAGGGGGAAGAGGGGGGUCACCCCGUCAUAUGUGUCAUAGCAUCCAGGUGUGUCCUUAGCACCAUCCAUGUGACACCUUCCUGGCCCCCUCUAUAUAUGGAUGUAUCCUCCCUUACUCUGAGGAGGAUGGAGGACCUCUGCACCAGCUGAAAAGGUGAGUGGGCUUUGAUUCAAGACGGAAGGACACCCUUCUCCAGUGAGCAAUGUGGAGCUGUGGGGUCUAUGGAUGGACAGGGGCUGGCAGGACCCUGGAUCCCACUCAGCCUAUGGUGCCUGCUGAGGGCAGAGCUCUGAGGGCUUCUCCUGGUAAAGAGGAAAGGAGAGCCAGAGUGCUGUGGACGGAGCAGUGGUGCUGAGAGGAGCAUCCAUCCGGGAAGUCAGAGGACAGAAUCAGCCCCUAAGGGAGUCCACACCUGUCCUCUCUCCACCCCAGCCCUGCCUCCAACCCCACCCUGCCCCCAUUCUGGGACCCAGAACACUAGGUGUGGAGAGCAUUCUGCUCACUGAUGUGGUGGAAACUCAGCAGUGGGGGUUCAGCUUGGAGCUCAGGGGAUGAAGUGAGCACUUAGGGGCCAGCUGAGCCCACCCUGCCCUGUGGGAGAUGAGGGUCAGUAGCAGGAGGAAGCAGAGUCAGGGCCCCUAGAGGAUGAGGCUGCAUGUUGGUGCAGGAGCUAAAGGCUGAGGUGUUAGGAGGCCCUCGGGGAGCUGGGGCAGGAGACAGAGUCUGUUUGUUCCUUCCUGGGUCAGAUGUUCCUAGAGCACCUACUGUGUUCCUGAGGGUGCAGCGACCAGAACAGACAUCCUGCCUGUCCUCACAGACAUGGCAUCCAUUGCAGAGGGGCGGGGAGAGGGACAGAACAGUGUGCCAGGCUUCGCUGAAGAAAGGGAGAGGCGUUCCCACCAUGGAUGGAGGGCUAUCCUUUCCCAGGGCUUGUUGCCUGCCCCUCGUCUGUGCCCAGGCCUCAGCUACCAAGCAUGCCAGGCUAGAUGGGACAUGGGGUAGAACCGGCCUCUGGAUGGGCAGAAGGGGAAGGCAGAGAGGCCCAGCUCCCCACAAGGGCUGCCUUGGGAUCCCAGUGGGGAAGGAGAGGCCAGGCCUCUGACCCUGCUGCCCACCCGACUUGACUCCUCCCAGGGCCAUGUGCUCCAUCCUGGGCACCUGGCUGCACCGUUACCCUGAGGAUUUCCACCAGCCCCCAGAGUUUCCCUGCCUGAAGAUGCUCUUGGCUUACCUGGAGCUCAACAUGCCUGGCUCAGCCCUGGAGCACCAGGCCCACCUUCUCCUGGCACAGCUGGAGCACCUGGAACCCGCUGAGGCAGAGGCUGAUGAACCAGCUCCAGAACCUGCUAUGAAAACACCUUGAGACCUAGAGCCAGCCAUCCUUCUACUGCCCACUAGAGCUCCAGAGCCACAGCAAGCUCAAGCCACAGUUCUUAUUCAAGGUCAAGGGCCUGAUCAAGGAGAUAUGCCUGCUCCAAUUCCAGAACCAGAGCAUGCUCCUGCCCUCACUCUCAUUUAAGUUCAACGUGAGGAAAAGCACCUGCACAGGCUCCAAUUCUAGAUCCAGAGAAAGUGCCAGCAUCAGUUUUCCUUCCAUCUUUGGAGCCUGAAUCAUCCGUAAAACCUGAUCUAGAGCUUCCUCUACAACCUCAGCCAGUCUCGUCAGCAGCCUCAGUUGCUGAGAUUAAGAAAACCUUUGCUCUGGAGCUCCGCCCCAGGCUCUGGAGCUCCAUUGUGCUUUGGCACCAGCUGUGCACCCGGGGUGUCAUCCAGCUCCAGUUCUGGACCUGGAGAGCACAGGGGACUCCAUUCUUCUAGUUCCUCGGGUGCUGGAGCCAGUUCCUCCCCCAAUCUCCUCAGAACUGCUCCCAGGUCAGAGAGGAGCACCAGCAUGUGCAGUGCCCUUCACAGCCUAUCAGGAGCUGCCCUGGUGCCAGCAGCAGCCCUAGAGCCUUCCUGCCUCUCCCUUGUACAUAUAGUAAAUCGUUUAUUCUAUGAUGUAAAGUUCUCUUAAAAUAAAUUUAAUUCUUUGCUCAUUUUAAAUUGUAUACGUGAGUGGCAUUAAUUACAUUCACAAUGUUACAUAACCCCUUCUAAUGUCUACUCCAGGACAUUUGUAUUCUUUUUGUCACCAAAUAAUAUUCUGUAUGUAAGUGAACUUUGCACAUGUGUCUAUAUUUUCAUCUGUUUAUGGGCAUUAGGAUUGUUUUCACCUUUGAGCUCUUGUGAAUAU